UAGCUAAUAUGUAUAUUUUAAUUGUUGGCCUAUAUGUUUCAUUUUGUUGGCUGGUAUGUUUAUUUUGUUGGCUUACUUAUUGCUUUUGUCUGCUGAAUUCAUCCUUUUGUUGGCUGAUAUGCUUCAUGUGUUGGCUGAUAUGUUCUUUUUGUUGGCUGAUAAGUACCUUUUUGUUGACUAAUAUACUCAUCUUGUUGGCAGAUAUGUAUCUUUUGUUGGUUGAUAUAUUCCUUUUGUUGGCUGAUACGUUUUUAUUAAUGUCUGAUAUGUCCUUAAUGUUGACUAAUAUCAGACAUCAAUUGGCUUAUAUGUUACUUUUAUUGGCUAAUAUACAAAGUAUAUACAAGUACAAACUAUUUUUAUUUCCUUCUCUCUCCUCUUUCCCCCUCAUCCUCUUCCUCUCUUUCUUUCUCUCUCCUGUUAGCAGCUUCUCACGCCACCCUCCUUCUCCUUCGUUCCUCACUUCCCUUCCCUCGACAAAUCAUUCCGGCCACCGACCCUCUCCACGCUGUUUUUGCAGCCGCCAUUCACCGAAACCACCAACCACCACAUCACCAGCCGAACCACCAACCACCGAAUCCCACCAGUCGCAAAUCGCCAACCACGCACCGAACCCACCAACCACCACAUCACCAGCCGCAAAUCACCAACCACCGACGCCGACGCCGCGCCAUUAACACCUCCAAUUGUGGUGGAAGGAUGGAGGUCGUUGCCGCUGUCGCUACCACUCUCAUUGUCGCUACCUUCUCCGCCGUACAAACUAUUGGGUGCGGACUGCCGCACCCAAUAGUUUGUGUAACAAAAAUUUGAUGACAGGUUAACAAAAUUUGAUCAUGAGUUUUGAGUGCCACAAUGGUGUAUACAGAGUCAUAACUCACAAAGUCACAAAGGGUAGUAGAUAAAUCCAUAAUUACUUCAUGUAAAAAUUUACUACGUACUUUGUUAUAAAUAUAAUACAACACAAGGGGAUGAUUAUAUUGGGUUA